CCCUGCUGCAGCCAGCGGGGACGGCUGGCAGUGGGGUUGGGAGCGCCCGGCCGCGGGCACGGCAGCACCAGGACUCGUUUCCUAUCUGCUCUCAGGUCCCACUGCCAAACCAAUCCCCCCAUACACCCACCCUGCAGAUUCCGGGACCCAAACUUGGCCGAUCGUUGGCAAAGUCCAGACCUUGGCUUAUUCCUUUGGGCAGCGGACACAGCUGAACGCAAUCAGCGCUGCUUUCAGGAGCUCCUCCUGCCUCCAGGAUACAAACAGCAGCCGGGUGUCCUCAGACGUGGGAUGUCUCCCCAGCACCACCACGUUGACGGUGCCUUCCAAAGCUAUAGCCCGGAGUGCCCUUGUGCUGGGAGCAAGCUCUGCAGCGCCAGCUGGACAGACAGCCAAGGACAGCCAUCCUCCCCAUCUCCUUGUGGUCUCUGUCCAGGACAGGUCAAGCUCAGGCGCUAAAACCGGAACGGCUGUGAUUGUGCUAUUUGAUAAAGGCAGAUGCCCAUAGAGCCUCUGCAAGUGGAUGAUGCUUUUGGGAUCUCCAAAGUGCACACAGAUGCACACAGGUGAAAUUUCAUUGCUUGUAUGAUAAUAUGUGUAAAAAUAAUAAUGAUACUCCUUGAAUCAUAGAGUCACAGUACCAUUAACAUCGGAAAAGACCUCUGAGACCCCCAAUCCCAGCCCACCCCCACCAUGCCCAUGGGCCAUACCCC
ensembl:lncRNA